ACAAACGGAUUCCAUUGGCUUCAAUAACACGUUUGUUGUCUAUAAUGGGAGGUGGCCACCACCGCCAUUUUGACCGUGUCACAGGUUCCGUCCAGCCCAGACAAUUCCAUAAAAGGGAAGAGAGGAGGCGCUGAGGGUGUGGCUGUAAGGCUGGGCUCGAGUGACGACACCCUGGCGAACUAGCUACGAGCUAACCUGAAGCUAACCCUGGCUAACCCAAAGCUAAAGCGGAGGUGGGAGCCGAGCUAACGGAUGUAGCCACCUAGCUUCAACCCAACCGGAGCUAACUGGAACACCCAUCGACCUGAACCUUACACGGAGUUUAGGUGGAGGUUUUCUGCGCCUGUUCGUGAGAAGUACCAGUAUUAAAAAAGUUUUAAAUCGAUCUGUUAAAAGGUCACCAUGGCAGCCUGUGUGUCUCCAACAUCAGCUACACAAAGCAGCAAGUCCAUUUGGAUCAUUGGAGACAGCUGAGUGAGGCGUGGUGCCCAGAGAGCUGCAGAGACAACCUUGGCCUCCCUGACGUCUGUGUCUCCUGGUUCGGUUGGGGCGGACCAUCGACAUACAUACAUACAUGUGCCGACACUUUGCGCCCUGUUUUAUAAAAUGUAGUGUUAAAAAUAAAUGUUUUUGCUCAA